rnacentral:piRNA from 1 species
UGGUAUGGUCCACAGUUAUAUCAGUCAGUGC